rnacentral:rRNA from 1 species
AUCGAACGCUGGCGGCAGGCCUAACACAUGCAAGUCGAGCGAGCGGAGGACGGGUGCGUAAUGUAUGGGAACUGCCCGAAAGAGGGGGAUCACUACUGGAAACGGUAGCUAAUCCCGCAUAAUAUCGGAUAACCGAUUUGGAAUUAGCUAGUCGGUGAGUUAAUGGCUCACCUAGGCGACGAACCCUAGCUGAUCUGAGCGGAUGAUCAGCCACACUGGGAAUGAGACACGGCCCAGACUCCUACGGAGGCAGCAGUGGGGAAGAUUGCGCAAUGGGCGCAAGCCUGAUGCAGCAAUGCCGCGUGGAUGAAGAAGGCUCUAGGGUUGUAAAGUACUGUUGGUCGGGAAGCGUUACCGAAAGAGGAAGCACCGGCUAACUCCGUGCCAGCAGCCGCGGUAAUUC